AAUUUUGGACAUUGUGCGCAAGCCCGAUCCAGCCAUGCUGCGUGAGUGAAGAAGGCCUCCGGGUCGUAAAGCCCUUUCGGACGGAAAGAAAACGCGCAGGCUAAAACCCUGCGCGGCUGACGGUACCGUCAUAAUAAGCACCGCCUAUCUACGCGCCACCAGCCGAGGUAAUCCGUAGGGCGCGAGCGUUAAUCGGAAUUACUGGGCGUAAUGCGUACGCAGGCGGUUAAUUAAGACAGGCGUGAAAACCCCGGGAAUAACCAGGGAACUGCGCUUGUGACUAGUAAGCUAGAGUACGGCAGAGGGGGGUGGAAUUCCACGUGUAGCAGUGAAAUGCGUAGAGAUGUGGAGGAACACCGAUGGCGAAGGCAGCCCCCUGGGCAGAUACUGACGCUCAUGCACGAAAGCGUGGGUAGCAAACAGG
rnacentral:rRNA from 1 species